GCAUGGUGAUGAAGGCAGCUGUAUCCCACAAAUCUUGAAGAGGUGAUGGAGCCAGACUCUUCAGAGAUAUCUCACGUUCUGCUUGAGGAAGUCGGCACAUCACCUUUGGGUGCAAUUUUAGUGUUUGGUCUACUGCUGCAAUCUCCAUAUAAACACUCACGCGCCUGCUCCAAUGCUUACCCUCCCCGCAGACCAUUCAUGCAAAACUCGCCAUGCUUUGGUGGCCAGCAAUCAAUUUCAGUCAUCAGCUCUGACUAUCCAAUUCUGCUCAUAUCGGCUUGCCAGCCUCGGUCUAUGAGUUACUUGAUGAAUUCUCCUGGGGAACUGGAGGAGAAAUGAGCCAGCUGCUGGCCCUGCUCUAGUAGAGAACCAGCUAUUUUUGCUGUGAUUCAGAGCAUAUUGCUUCCUUCCCCCUGCAAAACCAUCUCUGUAAGGAGAAGAACUGUGGAAGAGGAAUUUACCAUUUUGCUGUUUGGAAAAUGAGGGACGGGUGGGUUUGGUGAAACCAACCUGGAUUGAGCUGCCUAAUUUUAGGUACUUAAUUUAGGAGUGUUGUCACAGAGUGCUCUCCUGUCAGUGGGUGAGAUAAUCUGCUGAAGGGUAAUUUAGACCUCUUCAAUUAGCCUGCUGUUCCAAAUUGCUGUGGAGAUGAUUGUCUUUUCCCAUUGACUACGGAGGGUGUCAAAGGAAACUGGAUAGCUAACUUAAACAUUUGAAUUUGUUACCUAAAAUUGGGCAUAAAUAAGUGUGGGCAACAGCAGGGAUGUGGGAUAUUCACUGUCCACAGUCAAUGGGAA
rnacentral:lncRNA from 1 species